UAAGCUAGAGUCAGAUGACCCUCUUUCUC
rnacentral:piRNA from 1 species